UUUUCACCUCUACCUUUUUAAAAUAUAUGUUACUAAUUUACCCCUAGUCCACAUUCUUAUUGUGUUCUUCAUUUAUUUAAACAUUUGUCCCACUUCUUCUUCUUCCAUCUGCGAUUUUAUUUAAUUUUCUACUACUCAACCAAGCUUUCUCAUUCACUCCAUUAUCUCACUCUAACUUCAUUUAUUCUAGCCCUAAAAAUAGUUGCUACUCGUACUGCUAAAGAAAAACGAGCUCCAACAACAACUACCUCCAUGAAGAAAAAAGUAACGAAGAAGAAGAAGGCUGAAGUACGAAAGGUUACAACAAAAGCGAAGCAACAAACUGUCCAGUGAACCUUCGAUUAUCCAAUCUUCUUUGUCUCUUAAUAAGGGACAUGCGGAAGAUGUCGCAAGGCCACAUAAGAAGCAUAAAGGGAUUUCAAAUUCAGUCCCUGAACCAAAUCAGUUCAUAGCUAAGGUUAUCAAUCAAAAAUAACAACUAUUUGGUAGUAGGUAGACAUCAAGUGUUGUGAAAGGAGAAAAAGUUGAGUUGCCUGCUGAGGAUAGUUUGAAGAAGAAAAACUUUAAUGCUAGCUUCAUUGGAAUUGGACAUGUCGAUGCGGCCGAUAACAAGGUUGUUAAUGAAGGCGCAAUUGAUGGUGACGGUUCUUUAUUUAAGCCUACGAUUUUGGAGAAGGUUGAUGUCAUACCAUCUGCUCAUACUUAAUAUGCUCCAGCAGAUAAUGUUGCUAAUUAUGAAGCUCAUGGUUGCUCUAGUGAUGUUAGAACUUCUACUAGGAUUAAUAUCUUGCUGAUGUUGCGACUCAGAUGAAUACAGAUGUUUGAUCUAACAGUUAAGGAUAUUAAAUUUGCGACUCAAA